rnacentral:rRNA from 1 species
UAGGUGGCAAGCGUUGUCCGGAUUUACUGGGUGUAAAGGGCGUGUAGCCGGGAAGGCAAGUCAGAUGUGAAAUCUGGAGGCUCAACCUCCAAACUGCAUUUGAAACUGCUUUUCUUGAGUAUCGGAGAGGUAAUCGGAAUUCCUUGUGUAGCGGUGAAAUGCGUAGAUAUAAGGAAGAACACCAGUGGCGAAGGCGGAUUACUGGACGACAACUGACGGUGAGGCGCGAAAGCGUGGGGAGCAAACAGGA